rnacentral:pre_miRNA from 12 species
UUGGCCACCUGGCUCUGAGAACUGAAUUCCAUAGGCUGUGAGCUCUAGCAAACGCCCUAGGGACUCAGUUCUGGUGCCCGGCUGUGCUAU